rnacentral:tRNA from 2 species
GGCCUCAUCGUCCAAUCGGUUAAGACACCGCCCUUUCACGGCGGCAACAGGAGUUCGAACCUCCUUGAGGUCACCA